GAUGAACGCUGGCGGCGUGCCUAAUACAUGCAAGUCGAACGAAACUUCUUUAUCACCGAGUGCUUGCACUCACCGAUAAAGAGUUGAGUGGCGAACGGGUGAGUAACACGUGGGCAACCUGCCCAAAAGAGGGGGAUAACACUUGGAAACAGGUGCUAAUACCGCAUAACCAUAGUUACCGCAUGGUAACUAUGUAAAAGGUGGCUAUACUACCGCUUUUGGAUGGGCCCGCGGCGCAUUAGCUAGUUGGUAGGGUAAAGGCUUACCAAGGCAAUGAUGCGUAGCCGAAUUGAGAGGUUGAUCGGCCACAUUGGGACUGAGACGCGGCCCAAACUCCUACGGGAGGCAGCAGUAGGGAAUCUACCAAAAUGGGCGAAAGCCUGAUGGAGCAACGCCGCGUGGGUGAAGAAGGUCUUCGGAUCGUAAAACCCUGUUGUUAGAGAAGAAAGUGCGUGAGAGUAACGGUUCACGUUUCGACGGUAUCUAACCAGAAAGCCACGGCUAACUACGU
rnacentral:rRNA from 1 species